rnacentral:rRNA from 1 species
UACGGGGGGGGCAAGCGUUGUUCGGAAUUACUGGGCGUAAAGGGCUCGUAGGUGGCCAACUAAGUCAGACGUGAAAUCCCUCGGCUUAACCGGGGAACUGCGUCUGAUACUGGAUGGCUUGAGUUUGGGAGAGGGAUGCGGAAUUCCAGGUGUAGCGGUGAAAUGCGUAGAUAUCUGGAGGAACACCGGUGGCGAAGGCGGCAUCCUGGACCAUGACUGACGCUGAGGAGCGAAAGCCAGGGGAGCAAACGGG